rnacentral:rRNA from 1 species
UGAGGAAUAUUGGUCAAUGGAGGGAACUCUGAACCAGCCAUGCCGCGUGCAGGAAGACGGCCCUCUGGGUUGUAAACUGCUUUUAUUCGGGAAUAAACCUAUUUACGUGUAAAUAGCUGAAUGUACCGAAGGAAUAAGGAUCGGCUAACUCCGUGCCAGCAGCCGCGGUAAUACGGAGGAUCCAAGCGUUAUCCGGAUUUAUUGGGUUUAAAGGGUGCGUAGGCGGCUUAUUAAGUCAGGGGUGAAAGACGGUGGCUCAACCAUCGCAGUGCCCUUGAUACUGAUGAACUUGAAUACACUAGAGGUAGGCGGAAUGUGACAAGUAGCGGUGAAAUGCAUAGAUAUGUCACAGAACACCGAUUGCGAAGGCAGCUUACUAUGGUGUGAUUGACGCUGAGGCACGAAAGCGUGGGGAUCAAACA